rnacentral:rRNA from 1 species
GAUGAACGCUGACAGAAUGCUUAACACAUGCAAGUCGAUGGGGAAGUGGUGCUUGCACCAUGGUAACCAUGGCGGACGGGUGAGUAACGCGUAAGGAACUUGCCUGCGGGACCGGGAUAACAGGAGGAAACUGCUGACAAGACCGGAUAAGGUCAUUAAGCCGCAUAGCUUAGUGAUGAAAGGAGACGCCUGCGGAGAGCCUUGCGUCCUAUUAGCUAGUUGGAGGGGUAACGGCCCACCAAGGCGAAGAUAGGUAGCCGGCCUGAGAGGGUGGACGGCCACAAGGGGACUGAGAUACGGCCCUUACUCCUACGGGAGGCAGCAGUGGGGAAUAUUGGACAAUGGGGGCAACCCUGAUCCAGCAAUUCUGUGUGCACGAAGACGGUUUUCGGAUUGUAAAGUGCUUUCAGCAGGGAAGAAGUAAGUGACGGUACCUGCAGAAGAAGCGACGGCUAAAUACGUGCCAGCAGCCGCGGUAAUACGUAUGUCGCGAGCGUUAUCCGGAAUUAUUGGGCAUAAAGGGCAUCUAGGCGGCCUUUCAAGUCAGGGGUGAAAACCUGCGGCUCAACCGCAGGCCUGCCUUUGAAACUGAUAGGCUGGAGUACCGGAGAGGUGGACGGAACUGCACGAGUAGAGGUGAAAUUCGUAGAUAUGUGCAGGAAUGCCGAUGAUGAAGAUAGUUCACUGGACGGUAACUGACGCUGAAGUGCGAAAGCCGGGGGAGCGAACAGG